UAGUGUUGCAAGUUGGCGUGCAGGUG
rnacentral:piRNA from 1 species